AACUAAAAUGACUAAAAUAGCAUC
rnacentral:sRNA from 1 species